rnacentral:rRNA from 1 species
UUCCGGUUGAUCCUGCCGGAGGCUACCGCUAUUGGAGUCCGAUUAAGACAUGCGAGUCGAGAGCUUUCGGAGCUCGGCAUACUGCUCAGUAACACGUGGGUAACCUGCCCUAUGCUGGGGGAUAACCUCGGGAAACUGAGAACAAUACCCCAUAGUCCACUACGCCUGGAACGGUGAGUGGAUAAAAGCCCCGGCGGCAUAGGAUGGGCCUGCGGCGUAUCAGGUAGUAGGGGGUGUAAAGUACCCUCUAGCCUUCGACGCGUACGGGUUGUGAGAGCAAUAGCCCGGAGAUGGAUUCUGAGACACGAAUCCAGGUCCUACGGGACGCAGCAGUCGCGAAACCUUGACAAUGCGGGAAACCGUGAUCAGGGGACUCCAAGUGCCAGGAGUAAGAUCCUGUGCUUUUCUUUUCUCUUCAAAGGAUUUGGAAUAAGAGGUGGGUAAGGACGGUGCCAGCCGCCGCGGUAAUACCGGCGCCUCGAGUGGUAGUCGAUUUUAUUGGGCCUAAAACGUCCGUCGCCUGUCUGGUGCAUUCGUGGGUAAAUCAACCCGCUCAACGGGUUGAAUUCUGCGAGCACGGCCAGACUUGGGACCGGGAGAGGUGUGGGGUACUCUCAGGGUAGGGGUAAAAUCCUGUCAUCCCGAGCGGACCACCUGUUGCGAAGGCUCCACACUAGAACGGAUCCGACGGUCAGGGACGAAGCCUAGGGGCACGAACCGGAUUAGAUACCCGGGUAGUCCUAGGUGUAAACGCUGUGGACUUGGUGUUGGGAGCUCCCAGAGGGCUCUCAGUGCCGUACCGAAAGUGAUAAGUCCACUGCCCUGGGGAGUACGGUCGCAAGGCUGAAACUUUAAGGAAUUGGCGGGGGGAACACCGCCAACCUGAGGAUUGUUGCAGUUUUAAUUGGAGUCAACGCCGGAA